ensembl:lincRNA
CCAAUAAAAGUGAUCUUAUCUUAUCUAAAUUAGCCAGGUCUGCUGUUGUCCGUUAAUCAUGGGAUCACAACCCGUGCUGGGCUGCACAGACAGGAUGGGAGGCUCCUGUGGGAUACAGUAUGCUCUGGCGUGUUGAGAGGGCAGGGUAGCUCCAUGUUGAAAUUUCCCUUUAAACACGUCGCAGUGGGGAGGUUUAUUUUUGGCAGAUUGUGGAGAGUGCCGCACGCUCGGACGAGGUCAGGGUCUGAUCUGCAGGACCCCAGGAACUCUGCUCAAAUACCUGUCAGCUUCACAGCCUCGUACUGGGGAUAUUUAUAGGGGACAGGCCCACUGAGACUGUUUUGUAUCUCGAAUCACCCUGGCCCCAUUUAUUCCAGCUGGGGACUCAGAAGACUUUUCGUUUUAAAUAGGCCCAGAUCACUGAAGCAAAUUUAUCCUAAUAGACAUCGUAUUCUUUUUUUUUUUACCUUUAUCUGUAUUCGAGUCUGCUGGCUGGCAGAGCUGAUGUGAUCUUCAGUUUUGUCUGCGAAGAGUGAGAUGUACGAGCAGGUGUGAGUGUGGCGAACGGGUCAUACAGCGCAGAGGGCUAGCGGCAGGUGGAAUCAGUGGUUGUGAGGAUGAGGGUGAAACACAGGGGGUGUGAUGAAGGAGGAGGACGGGCUGUUGAUCUGGGGGAUCGCCGUGUUUGCCAGUUCUUGGCUACCCCUUCGCCAGCCCGGCUCCCUCUUUGUCCAAGCUCUCCGGGAGCGAGCCGGCCAUCAAUCCGUGUCAAGUCGCCAAUAAGACUCAUGAACGGUGCAUGAAAUAUUCAGGAGAAGGCAUGGAUUAUUCAUGAUGGCCCAGGACUGGAGGGAGUGCAGGGAUGUGCCGAAACGCUCCUUGACUGAUGUUCCCUGAGUCGUGCUCUGACUGGCACCAGCGAUCAGAGACUCGGAGCUCCCUCCUGCCUUCACCUGUCAGAUGCAAAGAAAUAUCUGGAGGUGGCAGGUUUCCUAACACUUGUCUAAACCGCAAUAUUCACAGGAAGGACAGAGGAGAGGGUCGAAACAGCACCAAUCUUCUGCCGUGGAAAGUUUGUGCCUGGUGCAGCAAUCACUGCAGCUCACCAUCGGUCUGUCUGGCGCUCAAAAGGAAGGAGAUGAGAGAAUCUUCUAGGCUGCACAUCCCCCUCCUACUACGCUUCUGGAAUUUCAGCCACGGCACUGGACCUGUGAUCCCGUCUUUCGACUGCCCUGCCUGUCCGCCUGCCUGCGACUGCACUGUGAGGGAGCAGAUGACGCAUGAUGCCAGGACACUGGGAAUUGUUACGCCUCAGCUCUGCUGAGCCCCUCUCUGGGGCGUGCUCAAGUCCUGAACUUUUAGCCGGACCUGGCAAAUGGCAUGCCGGGCUUCGGAUUUGAAGCCAGACCUAGAGCACGAAGGGAAUUCCGAAUUCUUGGGCAAAAGAGAUGACGGGGUGGUUGCUAUGACGACUCCAGGAUCUGCCUUCAUCCCUCAAUGAGCAGGGGGAGGCGGACACUGUGGAAGGCACUUUCCUCUGGAGAUUUCAGAUGUUCACGU